rnacentral:lncRNA from 1 species
GCCAAUUAAUAUUUUCUUUAUAUUGUUUUGUUCAUUUUUGUUCAUUCAAUUCGAAUAGCAAAUACCAAGAGUGAUAAGUUGAAUAAAAAUUCUUAUAGUAUCACAGGCGGGUGAUUAAAAAAAAAGAAAAGAAAGAUGCUUUAUAAAAUAAUUCCCCUUUUAGUUGAUUUUAGUCAAUUCUUCAAUUCAACGAUUGACCAAAAGAGAAUAUUAAUAUAAUAAAUUGCAUGGCCGUACCUCAAUCAAAUACUGAUAUUUAGUUCUAUGCAAUGAUUCGCCCCAAUGAAUUCGUCUAUUUCGAUUGUAGCCUGGUGGAUAAUGAUAACGAAAAGGAAUAGAAAAAAAAAAGAGAUUUAUAAAAAACGGGGUGAUUCGGCGAGGGGUACAUAAUUAGGUAUAUGGAAUCAAAUGCCAACUCUUGUGUAUUUUUUGAGUUUUAAAAG